ensembl:lncRNA
UGAUCAGAGCUGCUGCUUCUUCCACAGAGGACAGAAAUGGCUUCACUCCUUCUCUUCUCUCUGUUCAGCCUGAUCUCAAAUAUUUCAGGUGUCUUUGUCAUUCUAGGAGACACUUUUGAGUUUACAAAAACUGCAAGCUGCCAGAAAAAGGGAGCCGAGCUGUGGCACCCACUGGACGCUUCACGUACUGUUCUGGUGGCUCGAUGGGACGGUGUUUGGAUCCUGGGUCAGUACUACGAGGACAGGAUCGACCUGAACGCAUCGGUGGUUUUGAAGAACAUAAACUUCAACGACAACGGGCUGUUCGAGUUGAGCUGUGAGGAGACACUGACCCAGCUGGACGUUGUCAGAGCCUCUGAAGUGUCAGUGAGUGCAGGUGGAGCUGUCAGCUUCUCCUUCUUCUACGUCACCUCAGGAGCGCAGGGGAAGUUCAGGCUGGUCAGAAACAGGGAGACAGUGUGUGAGCUGGACCUGUCCUCCGGGACCAUCACAGAUGGGACCGGCUCUGAGGAGAGACUCUCUCUGCCCUCUGAUUGGAGGAGACGCGGAGACCUGACUCCGACCCUGCAGCGGGUGAAGCCAGAGGACCAGGGUGAUUACUUUGCAUAUGUGGAGGGAAAAGAUGGAAAGAGAAGAAGUCUCUCUGCCUGGAGGAUCAAGGUCCUGGAUCAAGACCCGGAUCAGACCACCGCCACACCUGGAACUGCUGAUGAGACGACGGACACUCGGACACACCUGGACCCACCUCUGAAUGGAACCACUGGAGAAAGGAUGGAGACUUGGACCACUGUCAUCAUUACAGCAGCUGUGACGUCUCUGCCCUGGGCUCUUCUUUGCCUCUUUUUAGUUUGGUGGCUGAAGUUCCGAAGACCAAAUGUGUCUCCUGGACCUGAUGGUGGACGACCCCCAACAGAUGUGGAUAUUAAACUUCUGCCCCAUGGGAAUUCUGCUGGUCCUCAAACCAACGGGGGUCCUCAAGUCCAGAAUUUGAUUCAAUAGAAAAAAUAAAAUAAAUGGAAUCAACAGCCAACACUUAAAAACAUCAAGUACAGACUGCAUUUUGAUGCAUGUUUGAGAAAUUAGACACUUGCUUCUGGAACAAUAUCCCAAUUUUUAAAAUUUGUCUCAGAAGACAGACCUCAUCUAUCUACGACUCCACAGACUCUGUCAGCACAGUUUUCCCCAUCAGACUAAAGAACCAUCGGGGAGGAUGUUGUGUUGAGCAUUGAUGAUGAUCAGUGGAGCAACGUGCUUGAUCCAGUCCCUUCUUCUGUACUCCACUGUUCACGAUAUCUGUAACAGAUGUGGCCAGGUCCCUGUAAACCUCAUACAUGUGUUUUGAUGUCGUGCCCAGAAAUGAUGAUGAACUUUUGGCCCAGAAUAUUUGAUACAUUCCAUAAAGAUUUUGAUGUGAUAAUAACUCCAAAUCUGCCAUUUUGGUAAAGGCUAGGAUGUUUUAAUGUAUCUUGACAUGUAUCCUCUCCAUUCACUCGAUGCACUCGUACCCCCAUUCCGUUCCCUUGCGCAAAGCACUCGUACCCUGUUCCCGUUCACGUCCAUUGGCUCAAAGCACUCGUACCCUGUUCCCGUUCACGUCCAUUGGCUCAAAGCACUCGUACCCUGUUCCCGUUCACGUCCAUUGGCUCAAAGCACUCGUACCCUGUUCCCGUUUACGUCCAUUGGCUCAAAGCACUCGUACCCUGUUCCCGUUCCCGUCCAUUGGCUCAAAGCACUCGUACCCUGUUCCCGUUCCCGUCCAUUGGCUCAAAGCACUCGUACCCUGUUCCCGUUUACGUCCAUUGGCUCAAAGCACUCGUACCCCCUUCCCAUUCCCUCGUUCAAAGCACUCGUACCCUGUUCCCUCGCGCAAAGCACUCGUAUGUCCUUCCCGUUCCCUCAACACGCUACCCUCUCAGAUGCUCCAUCCACUCCCAAGACACCCUCUGAUUGAACACCAAACUGAGCAAAAUCAACUGGCUCAGCCUCUCUCAUCCCAUCUUCCUCGUCUGACUGAACUCGUACCUAAGCCCUCACAAACCUAUCCUCCCAUAUUUACUCUGGAGACAUGUCCUCGGCUGCGGUCCUCUCAAACCCACAGCCACAUCUGCGUAUCGACCAAAGCAUAUUUUCACAUAAUCCAGUAAUACCUGGUACACUGACCAAGACAACCCCCAUUCUGAGCCUCAACCUCCCUGGUUCCCAGGUGGUCUAGCCAAUCUGCACCCCACUCAAACCCCCUCUUCAUCGACCUCAACCCCCCUUUCCUAUCCCUUCCAAUCUUCUACCAAUUUAAAUAAACUACCAUAAUGUUAAAUUGUGGUGUGGUCUAUGUGUGGUGACUCAUGAGUCUGCAUCAGGGAACGUGUCUUUACAACACUGCAGGUGUUUGUUUCUGUUAGUUCACCACCUGUAGAGUUCAGCUCAGUGAUCAUCCCACUCACAGACACAAGCUGCUGGAAGAGAACACCACCUGUUUCAUGCUGUUCAUGGUGUCGUUUAACUGCAGGAUGGCUGAUUUUACAAUCCACCGGCCUUCAGUAGUGAAAGCUGAGAGGAGGAACGCUUUUGUAACAAUUAGUCUGUGAAAACAAAUUCCUGCAGGUGUGUGUCUGCCAUUAUUUACACAUGUUAUAUUGUGUCUGGGAUCACUAGUGACAGGGUUAACUUAAGGCGAGACAGCAAGGGUGAAUCUUGACACAUAACUCUGAAACGAUAGCACAUAAAAACUUGAACCUGAACUUGAAGUUAAGCCCAAAAACACAACAAAAGUAGUUGUCAGCAGUGUUCACCUGCUGAAGCUAACAGGUGUGUCUGUACGCAGUGUAUAUGUGACACACAAUAUACUUGACAUUUCGAUUUCCAGCAGGAGACUGAGAGACUUUACUGCUCCUUCUCCUUAUUGUCUUGGUGCAUAAUUCCUCUGGAAAACAUGUUUUUUUUUUGUCUUAUUAUUGCAUCAGUGUCAAUGGAAUGCUGCACUGCAACAUCUAUGAAUGAAUAAAUAUUACUGUCACAUUUCCUGCUAGCUGGGAAACCCUGUGAUGGCUCUCAGUUCGUAUCAUGUUUCAUUAGGAUGACUGAGAUAGUUUGUGAAGGAGGAGCUCAGUGAAUAAAUAGUUGUCUGGGAUUUCCCUUCCUGCACAACACAGACUGUUACAUGUGGGCCUGUACUGUGUUUUUUCUCUCUGCCUGUUUUUUUUUUUUUUUACAGUUUCUGGCAUGAGCUGCUGUUGGCCAAUGGAAUGCUGCACUGCAACAUCUAUGAAUGAAUAAAUAUUACUGUCACAUUUCCUGCAAGCUGGGAAACACCUUUUAUCAGCUGUAUGAAUCAGACCGAGGAAACACCCAGUGCUGGCAUCAGCUAUGUGACUGUCAUGUAAUCAUGAGGCCUGUUUGUAGAAGCAGAGUGGCUGUGUGCAUGCUGUGCCACCCACAUGUAGCAGUGAGUGUCUUUUUUGUUUAAAUAAAAGAGCACAUUUCUUUUCAGUUUUCUCCAUAUAUCCCUGACAUUGAGUUUUGAAACCAAUGGUUGUUUGUAUAUGUAUAACUUCCAGUGUUGAUGCUCAAUAAGAAAAUCCGUUGAAAGAAAAAGAACAAACUGUGUCAUUCUGUAAUAAACCAGGAACUACAGUUAUGAUGCUUUGAGGUAUCUCAACUGGAGAAAUCCUCUGAUACUGCAGGACUCCCCUUGUUUGGUAUAUUCAGUCUGACCAACAGAUGUUAACAGAUGUUUGGAGGUUAUUUGCUGCAGAAGCUUUCAUUAUUGUUAAAAAGCUCUUAUUAUUUUCACUUAUCACAUCUAUUCUAAUACAUGAACCGGCUACAUUUGGUUGCAUUCCGUCUAUUAUUUUGUAUUACAGACACAAAGUUUAAUCUGUCGUCAUAAUAAAUCUCCAUCAGAGAGAAGCUGCACAGCUCUGUUAGUAAUUCAGGAGGUGAAAUACUGUGAAAUGCUGCUUGUGAUGGUUCUUCAAAGCUAUAAUGAGCCACAGAACAAUGAGUACCAUAUGUUCACUGGCUGCUGCAUGAGUCCAGAUGUGUGUGAAGCUUCCAGUUAAUUCUCUCAGAAUCAGCUUUAUUGUCCAAAUAUGUGAACACACAAGAGGAAUCUCUCAUUUCAGGUGAUAACUGUGUGUGGAGGAUCAUGUAUGGAAUUAAAUUUGUGCCAAAAGAAACAAACAAAACGUUUUAAAUGUCAAACAAAAAUAGGAAUUUGAGAGAACAUAGAACUCAUUUCAAAAAUAAAACUUGGAACUUGCAAUCAAAUAAUUUGUCAAUUAGUGUAAAAUAUUGGUCUUUUACUCUUCUAAUAAUGCAUUAUUUUGUUUACGGUUCCCUCUGCUUCUCUCUCUCCGCUCUUAUUUGUGCUCUCUGACUUUUUGCUUCUGCUCCCAGUCCCUGCCAGCUGUGUACAGACGCUGAAAUCAGGCUUCGUGACUGCCUUCAGUAACUCUGCUGCUGAUUCAUACUCCAGCUAUUGUUCCACACUGAUUGAUGUUUUCAUCCUUCAAAGGUCGACUGGCAGGCAGUGAGUGAUAAGCUGAUCAAGGUGAACACAGGGUGUGGAGUUUAUUCUUCUGUCACACCAACAAUGUUUUGUCACCACAAACAAUGCUGAAGAUGGAUUUCCCCCAGAAAAUACAGACAAAAAACACACUAACUUCUGCCAACAUAUGAUUUUAGUGUGCAAUGUCGACCAGACUACUAAAGAGACAAGAGGAGCAGUCCAGAGGGUUUAUUACCUGACUGUGUGUUCAGAGGCUUUCUGACAUUAACAUGCAAGAGACGAGGCAGAAGCAGGAAACACAUCUUCCUCGGUGGAGAGAGCGACCUGAGAAACCAUAUUUCGAAACAAUAGAAUUUGUUGGUGGAGAAGGAGGACGUGUUUGUCUCACUGACAGAUUAAUGACACCGACACACUCACUGUAGAGGCCCGGGGCAGUUUGUUUUAGAGGAGUGGGACAAAGGAGGACAAGUUUAGCCUUUCUCUCUCUCUC